rnacentral:rRNA from 1 species
CAAUGGCCGGAGAGGAGGGAUCAUU